rnacentral:piRNA from 1 species
UUUGAUAGAUGUAAUUGUCAUCUCAGAGGC